GUCACUGCAAAACACUCUGGAGCAGGGCGUGGCAGAGGUGGAGUUCUGGAAGGGACAUAUAAAUGAAAUCGCAGUGCUGGAGACUUGGGAGCUUGGAAACUGUUUAAUUACUUGCAGAGAGUCCAAUGGAUGUCCAUGUCGUAUUGACGAAAUGCUUUUUUAUCUUCUACAUAGCUUGCCUGCAUAUUCCCUCUGUAGAGUCAGGUAAAAGACUGAUAACACCAUGGCAAAGAGAGGCUGGGUGGACCAGCGUCUUUCAGCCUCCCCCUCUGAUGACAAACAGUGGGAGACAGCGGUCCUCCCUACCUGAAGCCAGACAGGAGUAUUCUUAUGAUGCUGGAGCAACACAGGGAACAGAUAUGGUCCCCUUGCACGGAGGUUUCGGAGGAUUCACCAGGAAGAAGGGUGUCAAAGUGGGCCGUGUGAGGCAUUUUGGACAGUUUAACUCAGACACGCAUGGCUGCAGUGGAAUCCAAAGAAGGAGCUGCAGCUCUUCUUCACACUGCACAGGAUGCUUAGGACUGUACACCUGCAACCUGACCCUGGGAACGUGCCAGCUGAAGGGCCUGUCGCAA